UGGUGGAGUGAUUUGUCUGGUUAAUUCCGUUAACGAACGAGACCUCGACCUGCUAAAUAGUUCCUAUACAUCUUGUAUGUAUAUCAUUAGGUGACUUCUUAGAGGGACUAUCGGUGUGUAGCCGAUGGAAGUUCGAGGCAAUAACA
rnacentral:rRNA from 1 species